CCUACGGGAGGCAGCAGUAGGGAAUAUUGGGCAAUGGGCGCGAGCCUGACCCAGCCAUGCCGCGUGCCGGAUGAAGGCCUUCUGGGUUGUAAACGGCUUUUCUCAGGGAAGAAAAAGGUGAUGCGUCACAAACUGACGGUACCUGAGGAAUAAGCACCGGCUAACUCCGUGCCAGCAGCCGCGGUAAUACGGAGGGUGCAAGCGUUGUCCGGAUUUAUUGGGUUUAAAGGGUGCGUAGGUGGCCCGUUAAGUCCGGGGUGAAAGCCCACAGCUCAACUGUGGAACUGCCCUGGAUACUGGCGGGCUUGAGUCCAGACGAGGUUGGCGGAAUGGAAGAUGUAGCGGUGAAAUGCAUAGAUAUCUUCCAGAACCCCGAUUGCGUAGGCAGCUGACUAGGCUGGUACUGACACUGAGGCACGAAAGCGUGGGGAGCGAACAGGAUUAGAUACCCUGGUAGUCCACGCCGUAAACGAUGGAUACUCGCUGGUGGCGAUAGACAGUCACUGGCUUAGCGAAAGCGGUAAGUAUCCCACCUGGGGAGUACGCUCGCAAGAGUGAAACUCAAAUGAAAUUGACGG
rnacentral:rRNA from 1 species